rnacentral:rRNA from 2 species
AGUCAUAUGCUUGUCUCAAAGAUUAAGCCAUGCAUGUCUAAGUAUAAGCAAUUAUACGGCGAAACUGCGAAUGGCUCAUUAUAUAAGUUAUCGUUUAUUUGAUAGCACAUUACUACUUGGAUAACCGUGGUAAUUCUAGAGCUAAUACAUGCUAAAAAUCCCGACUUCGGAAGGGAUGUAUUUAUUAGAUUAAAAACCAAUGCCCUCUGGGCUCUCUGGUGAAUCAUGAUAACUGCUCGAAUCGCAGGGCCUCGUGCCGGCGAUGGUUCAUUCAAAUUUCUUCCCUAUCAACUUUCGAUGUUUGGGUAUUGGCCAAACAUGGUUACAACGGGUAACGGAGGGUUAGGGCUCGACCCCGGAGAAGGAGCCUGAGAGACGGCUACUACAUCCAAGGAAGGCAGCAGGCGCGCAAAUUACCCAAUCCCGACACGGGGAGGUAGUGACAAUAAAUACUGAUACAGGGCUCUUUCGGGUCUUGUAAUUGGAAUGAGUACAAUUUAAAUCCCUUAACGAGGAACAAUUGGAGGGCAAGUCUGGUGAACGUUUGCUGGUGCCAGAGAGAGCCAACCCUCCUGUGGGCGACGGAAGAUGGCUAGUCGCGCGCUCGAUCAGUGACGGGUGAGCGCCGGCGAGACAACCUGGAUCGGGGAAGGCUAAGGGCCCCAAGACGGCCUAUCGCUGAUCCCGAGCAGAGCCCCGCGGCCAGCGUGCUGAAGGGCCUGUGUAGAGCGCGCCAAGGUGUCGGUCCAGGGCGGGCGAGGGCGUUCCCUCCCUCCCCUCCCAGGGCUUAAGGUACGUGCCAAUCCCCUGCGAAAGCAGGGCCCUGCGGAAUAGCACCCGUCGUGCGAAGCCGUCAGGGGAGGACUCCUACCUAGGCGAUGGCGCCUGGGUAGGUGGCCUCUGUGACGAUAGUGGCCAGCAGCCGCGGUAAUUCCAGCUCCAAUAGCGUAUAUUAAAGUUGUUGUGGUUAAAAAGCUCGUAGUUGAACCUUGGGCCUGGCUGGCCGGUCCGCCUCACCGCGUGUACUGGUCCGGCCGGGCCUUUCCCUCUGUGGAACCCCAUGCCCUUCACUGGGCGUGGCGGGGAAACAGGACUUUUACUUUGAAAAAAUUAGAGUGCUCCAGGCAGGCCUAUGCUCGAAUACAUUAGCAUGGAAUAAUAGAAUAGGACGUGCGGUUCUAUUUUGUUGGUUUCUAGGACCGCCGUAAUGAUUAAUAGGGACAGUCGGGGGCAUCAGUAUUCAAUUGUCAGAGGUGAAAUUCUUGGAUCUAUUGAAGACUAACUACUGCGAAAGCAUUUGCCAAGGAUGUUUUCAUUAAUCAGGAACGAAAGUUAGGGGAUCGAAGACGAUCAGAUACCGUCGUAGUCUUAACCAUAAACUAUGCCGACUAGGGAUCGGGCGAUGUUAUUUUUUGACUCGCUCGGCACCUUACGAGAAAUCAAAGUGCUUGGGCUCCAGGGGGAGUAUGGUCGCAAGGCUGAAACUUAAAGAAAUUGACGGAAGGGCACCACCAGGGGUGGAACCUGCGGCUUAAUUUGACUCAACACGGGGAAACUCACCAGGUCCAGACACAAUGAGGAUUGACAGAUUGAGAGCUCUUUCUUGAUUUUGUGGGUGGUGGUGCAUGGCCGUUCUUAGUUGGUGGAGUGAUUUGUCUGCUUAAUUGCGAUAACGAACGAGACCUUAACCUGCUAAAUAGCCCGUAUUGCUUUGGCAGUACGCCGGCUUCUUAGAGGGACUAUCGGCUCAAGCCGAUGGAAGUUUGAGGUAAUAACAGGUCUGUGAUGCCCUUAGAUGUCCUGGGCCGCACGCGCGUUACACUGACGGAGCCAGCGAGUACUCCCUUGGCCGGAAGGCCCGGGUAAUCUUGUUAAACUCCGUCGUGCUGGGGAUAGAGCAUUGCAAUUAUUGCUCUUCAACGAGGAAUCCCUAGUAAGCGUAAGUCAUCAGCUUGCGUUGAUUACGUCCCUGCCCUUUGUACACACCGCCCGUCGCUACUACCGAUUGAAUGGCUCAGUGAGGCGUUCGGACUGGCCCAGGGAGGCGGGAAACUGCCACCCAGGGCCGGAAAGUUCUCCAAACUCGGUCAUUUAGAGGAAGUAAAAGUCGUAACAAGGUCUCCGUU